rnacentral:lncRNA from 1 species
UCCAGACCAUAUGUUUUUAAAAACUAAAAUGAAAAGAGCAACAUUUAAUCUGAGCUCCUGAGAGGUGUAUUUUCUUUAUAGCUAGCCCUGGAGUGCCUGGAACAUAACUGCCAUUCAAGGUGUUUUGGGGGGAAGAGGGGUGUGUGCUCUUUUUUUACUCUGUGAAACAAGCUCAGGGAGGAAAUGACCUAACUCGUAAAGCAAUGUGUGUGCUUUGUGACAGGGUGCGGGGUAGUGUAGGAGGUGGGGAUCUUGGGUUGAGUCCUGAUCUUUUCUGCUGUUACAUUCCAGCUUUGCGUGACUAAGGUCUGUAACAAUAGAAAGCUGCCAGACCCCACGGAUAGGCUCUCGCUUCUUGGAGCCAGUGGGAACUGAACUGGAAAAAAAAAAUGCUUUACAAAGGCUAUGCUUGCUGAAAGAUUCCUACCUGGCUCAGAGAAAGGGGGAGUCCCAUGAGAAACUAACCAUGGGUCAGUAAGCAACUGCUGACGUGACAUUUUUUCCAAGAGUGUGUCUUCUUUUGAACGCCAUCCAAACCCCAGCACUUAACAGCAUGAGAAGGUAUUGCAGGGAGAGACCCUAGGAAAAAACCCAGCAUUAGCAAUCUGCUUUUCCAAACUUCCCUUGGCAGGUGACUGUGGAGCUGCACAUGUUCUAGAGAGAUAGUUAAAGGCUUCUUCCCCUCCUGGCUUCAGCUGCAGGAGGAAAAAUCCCCUGUGUGUUAAGUCCAUACAGAACUGGAUGUGCCCUCCACUCUCAAUAAAAGCAGGUUCUUCUGGCCUCAGUGAAACAACUUUAAAUUCUGCUUACACUGGAAAUCUCUGGUUCGAGUGCUCUUCCUACUUCACUCGACAGCAUCCAUGCAAAACAUCUGAAGCAUUUACUCUAAUCGAUACUCUGGCAGUUUGAGAUCGCUAAAAGAAAGAGGCUGCUAUCAUCUGAGCUGUGAAAUGCUCUGGAAGUGUAUAUUAAUCUUAAUAUAAUUGCCCGAAGGGCACCGGCUGACCUGCAUUGCCCUGCAGCAGAAGUUACUGUAAAGUUGACAAAUGAUUUUAACAGAGCUUUAGUGGUCACCUGAGGACAGUCAGUAUAUAGCACUGUACCCUGCUAUUUUAACUGCAAUGUAGGGUUUAAAUGACUUUUAAGAAGUGCUGCUUUUUCCCUAAGAUGUACUCUGGAAUGGAAAUAUUAAGUCAUCCCUUUUGAUUGCCCCAAGGUACCGUGAUUUCUUUUGGCAUAUAUCAUAGCAGUCAAGUUCAAAGCCAUUAAGAUUUAAGGGAAAUGAGCUUUGCAGUUGAAGGGGGAAAAAAAUCUUUUUCUCUGAAAGAUGGAGCUCGUUGCAUUGCAAAGGUGCAAGUACAGGGAGGCCGAUGAUCUCUCAUGUACAGUAUGUAGCGCCUUUCAUCCCAGGUUAGUGCAACCCUCAACGCCCCCAUGGAGCUGGUUCAAUGUUCCUUUGCUCCACUCAGGUGGCACAAAGGGACCUUAGAAGGG